UCUCGAGUGCAGAUCAGAGAAGGGUCUGGUUUGUAACAUGAGAAGUCGAGGAGGAAGACACGGCGAGGACGAGUGGUGAAAUAAGCGGUGGAGAGAGCGAUUAAAAGUGCAGUGGCGAGGGUGGCGGAGAGGAAAUGGAAACGGAGGUGGUUGUAGAGGAUAGUUAGGUCGUUGAGGGAGAAAGAGGAGAGGUUGGCGAUUGUGGCGGCGAGGAGAGGGAGGAGGAGGAUGUAGAGAGCGUUGGAGAUUAGGUAAUGGUAACCGAGUUUGACGUAUUUGAGACGAACGGAUAAGAGAAAGUUCGGGAGGUUGUUUGGGUUUUGGUCGGCGUUUGUGACAUGGACCGGGACAGGACGGUGAGGUUGGUCUUGG
rnacentral:lncRNA from 1 species